rnacentral:rRNA from 1 species
UGGCGGACGGGUGAGUAAUGUCUGGGAAACUGCCCGAUGGAGGGGGAUAACUACUGGAAACGGUAGCUAAUACCGCAUAACGUCGCAAGACCAAAGAGGGGGACCUUAGGGCCUCUUGCCAUCGGAUGUGCCCAGAUGGGAUUAGCUAGUAGGUGGGGUAAAGGCUCACCUAGGCGACGAUCCCUAGCUGGUCUGAGAGGAUGACCAGCCACACUGGAACUGAGACACGGUCCAG